CCGGCGACCGGCGCACGGGUGAGUAACACGUAUGCAACCUGCCCUCUUCAGGGGGACAACCUUCCGAAAGGGAGGCUAAUCCCGCGUAUAUCGGUUUCGGGCAUCCGAGAUCGAGGAAAGAUUCAUCGGAAGAGGAUGGGCAUGCGGCACAUUAGCUAGACGGCGGGGUAACGGCCCACCGUGGCGACGAUGCGUAGGGGUUCUGAGAGGAAGGUCCCCCACACUGGUACUGAGACACGGACCAGACUCCUACGGAAGGCAGCAG
rnacentral:rRNA from 1 species